rnacentral:misc_RNA from 1 species
UGAAAGGCGAAACGUAAUGUGAAUCGCAACUAACAGUGAAUCAUCAAAUCUUUGAACGCAGACCGCACCCAGCAAUAUCAUUAUCUGUUAUUACUGGGUAUCUACUUAUGAGUGUCAGCCAUAUAUCUCUUCAGUUCACGAUGAUGACUAAAUAUUUUUUUAUUUAGUCAAUUUGUGAGCUUUAUCUUGGACUCUAGAAAUUAAAUUCAUUUUUAAUUUCUAGAGUCUUUCUUUUUUUUUCGACUGGCCUCAUAUGUGGAAGAUUACCCGCUGGAUUUAA